rnacentral:rRNA from 1 species
AGUGAACGCUGGCGGUAGGCCUAACACAUGCAAGUCGAACGGCAGCACAGUAAGAGCUUGCUCUUACGGGUGGCGAGUGGCGGACGGGUGAGGAAUACAUCGGAAUCUACUUUUUCGUGGGGGAUAACGUAGGGAAACUUACGCUAAUACCGCAUACGACCUACGGGUGAAAGCAGGGGAUCUUCGGACCUUGCGCGAUUGAAUGAGCCGAUGUCGGAUUGGCUAGUUGGCGGGGUAAAGGCCCACCAAGGCGACGAUCCGUAGCUGGUCUGAGAGGAUGAUCAGCCACACUGGAACUGAGACACGGUCCAGACUCCUACGGGAGGCAGCCGUGGGGAAUAUUGGACAAUGGGCGCAAGCCUGAUCCAGCCAUACCGCGUGGGUGAAGAAGGCCUUCGGGUUGUAAAGCCCUUUUGUUGGGAAAGAAAAGCAGCAGGUUAAUACCCCGCUGUUCUGACGGUACCCAAAGAAUAAGCACCGGCUAACUUCGUG